rnacentral:rRNA from 1 species
CACGUAGGGCGCAAGCGUUGUCCGGAAUUACUGGGCGUAAAGGGCUCGUAGGCGGCCAACUAAGUCAUACGUGAAAUCCCUCAGCUUAACUGGGGAACUGCGUGUGAUACUGGAUGGCUUGGAUUUGGGAGAGGGGUGCGGAAUUCCAGGUGUAGCGGUGAAAUGCGUAGAUAUCUGGAGGAACACCGGUGGCGAAGGCGGCAUCCUGGACCAAUAUUGACGCUGAGGAGCGAAAGCCAGGGGAGCAAACGGG